GGGUGGUUAGCGAAGUGGUCAAACGCAGCACGCUGUAAACGUGCCGGCCUUCGGCCUUCGGGGGUUCGAAUCCCUCACCACCCA
rnacentral:tRNA from 1 species